AGCGAACGCUGGCGGCGUGCCUAACACAUGCAAGUCGAACGUGAAAGGGAGCAAUCCCCGGUAAAGUGGCGUACGGGUGAGUAACACGUAGGUAAUCUACCCCAGAAUCUGGAAUAACCGGCCGAAAGGCUGGCUAAUACUGGAUAGAGCGACGGAAUCCGUAAUUGGGUUUUUCGGGAAAGGGAGCCUGUAAAAAGGCCUUCGUUCUGGGAUGAGCCUGCGUCCCAUCAGCUAGUUGGUGAGGUAAAAGCUUACCAAGGCAAUGACGGGUAGCUGGUCUGAGAGGACGAUCAGCCACACUGGAACUGAAACACGGGCCAGACUCCUACGGGAGGCAGCAGUGGGGAAUCUUGCGCAAUGGACGAAAGUCUGACGCAGCAACGCCGCGUGAGUGAAGAAGGCCUUCGGGUUGUAAAGCUCUGUCGAGUGGGACGAAAAUGCUUGGAGUUCACAGCUCCAGGAACUGACGGUACCACUAAAGGAAGCACCGGCUAACUCCGUG
rnacentral:rRNA from 1 species